rnacentral:lncRNA from 1 species
AAGGAGGAGGUGGAAAAAACAUGAAGCACGUGCAAGUAAAGGUUUAAAAUACAGGUGAAACUCUACCUACAGAGGCACGACUCUAACAUGCUUAAGGAUGCUUGAGAAAGCCCUGACCCUACAAAAAGGCCUAAGACCCGUGGCAAGAAUGAAGGAGUCACGCAAUGCAAAAAGCGCAUGAAGCCCAAGGUUCUCUUCCCCAGUGUUAAAUCAUCUUAAUACAGAGGACUGGGCUUUACGACAUUCCGUGAAACUUGACUCACCGUGUUCUGUGUCUGGAAGCUCAAUGUGAAGCAGAUCUUACUUGCACUUCUAAAAGGAGGCAUGUUGAUGCAAUGGAAAAAGAUCUGAUGCAGUAAGACUCAGAGUCCUAAGAUUCUCUCUGUCUCUAACUGCCAUUACAAGCUUUUGUGAGGAUGGAAAGGUCUUUGCAGGGUGCCUGCACACAGGAAGUGUCUCUAACAGGAAAGAACAUGUUGUUGGAGCUUACCAUUCUAGUGCAGCUUCCCUCACAACAGCACCAGUGGGGCCAUCUGUCCAGAUGCCCGGCCCUGUCCUUUUGAACAUCCUAGAUGCUUUGCACCCUCCAAUCAAUGUCCUAUCCCCUUUGCCCAUCGUCUGUGUGCUCCCAAGAGUCUUCUCUUCAAUCCCACUGGGGGUCCCCAGCACCCUGGGCCAGGCCUCUCCCUAUGUUACCAACAAGCGUUCCAAGUGUUCCUGUGAAGCCAGCUCUUCCUACGGAUGGGAUGGGAUCCCUUGGUAUUGAACAAUCACCAAGUCAAGUGAAGCAUGAGCUCUUUGUUCCCCUUGACCUUGUCUUCUAAUUGCUCACUGGUUUUUCUUAUCAGCUUGUGAGAUCUCCUUGUACAGGCUUGUGAAUAUUUUUGUGUGACAUAUGUGCCGAAAAUAUUUUUCCAAUUUAUCACUUUUCAUUUGAUUAGGUGUAUGGUAUCUUUCCCCAGGUGAUAUAUAUAUACACACACACACACACACACACAUAUAUAUAUGUAUAUACAUAUAUGAUAGAUACAAAUGACAAAUACAUGAAUAUAAUUGAACAUACACAGGAUUUACUGUCAAGAGUAAUAUGGUCUCCCCAUGUAUAGUUUUCCUUGUCUCUAAUUUUACUAAAUUGUGUUUGCAUUUAGAUCUUGGAUUAUUCAAAACAUUGCACUAUUUGUACAAUCAC